rnacentral:rRNA from 1 species
CCUUCGGGUUGUAAAGCUCUGUCGGAGGGGACGAAAAGCUUUGAGGUUAAUAGCCUCAGAGUCUGACGGUACCCUCAAAGGAAGCACCGGCUAACCUCGUGC